AUCUUGUUGUUUGUCUUGUUUUUAUUUUCUCGUUUGUUUAAUUGUUUUAUUGAAGAAUCAUUUUGUUGUUGUAUUUUUUUGAUUUAAUUCUUUUUACUAUAGAUUAUUUGUACUGUAGGGGUAUGGUUUGUGUUAAUGUGUUUUUAGAAGCUGAUUUUUUUUAUUGUACCUUGUGUAUCAGGGUUCAUUAAAUUUUAUUAUUUAUUUUUGUUUCCCGAUUUUAAAGGAGUUAAUGGCUUAUUUUAGUUAUUGUUUCAAUAUUAUUAAUAAUAGGCUGUUGGCAGUGAAAUGUUAUACGUCUUUAGUGGUUUCUGGUUUUUCAAGAAAUGAAUUUAAUUCAGGCUCUUUAUUUAAUUUUUACUUUUAUUUUAUUUGUUUUUAUUUGGCGCUAAGAUUGAGGGGGAUUAGCUCCUUGUUUUAUUUUUAUAAUUUUCGUUUUCUAUUUAGUUUUGUGGAUUUUAUGGUGAUUUUCAAUUUGAUUAUGUUAAAAUUUUAUUUAUUCUUUUGUUUAUUUGGAUUGUGAUUUAAUUUGUUUAUUGGAAUGUUUUCUUUAAUUGCUUGUUUGGAUAGCAACUAUUGUGUAAUUAGUAAAUUUUGUUUUGUGUUGUGUUAAUGUGUGUUGAAUUUCUUUUGAGGAAUUAGGCAAAGAUUUCAUAUCCGCCUGUUUAACAAAAACAUCUUUUCUCGUUAGUUUUUGAAGUNNNNNNNNNNNNNNNNNNGAAGGGCCGCGGUAUUUUGACCGUGCAAAGGUAGCAUAAUCAUUAGUUCUUUAAUUGUGAUCUGGUAUGAAUGGCUUGACGAGAUAUGAACUGUCUUAGAGGUUGAAUGUUUGAUUGAAUUUGGUCUUUGAGUUAAAAUUCUUAAAUGUUUUUAUGGGACGAGAAGACCCUAUAGAGUUUGACAUUUGUUUUGCUUUCUGUUGUUUUGUUUGUUUUAGCUUGGUUAAGUGAUUUAGGUGUUUUGUUGGGGUGAUGGGAGGAAUAUUAUUUAACUCCUCUUUAUUUUGUAUAUUUGUUUAUAUUUUUUUGAUCCAUUUGUUUUGAUUAUAAGAUUAAAUUACCUUAGGGAUAACAGCGUUAUCUUCCUUGAGAGUUCUUAUUGGCGGGGAGGUUUGCGACCUCGAUGUUGGAUUAAGGUUAAUUUUUGGUGUAGGAGCUGAAAGUGAUUGGGUCUGUUCGACCCUUAAAACCUUACAUGAUCUGAGUUCAGACCGGCGUGAGCCAGGUUGGUUUCUAUCUAUAAUGUUGUUUUAUACCUUAGUACGAGAGGACCGGGUAUUUGGAAUAAUUUUGUUUUAUAGGAUUAUUAUUAAUGUUAUUUACUAUUUUGGCAGAUAAGUGCAUUGGAUUUAGAAUCUAUUAA
rnacentral:rRNA from 1 species